ensembl:snRNA U6 U6 spliceosomal RNA
GUGCUUUCAUGGCACAUAUCCUAAAAUUGAAAUGAUAUAGUAAAGAUUUGGAUGGUUUUAGCACAAGGAUGAUGCACAAAUUUAUAAGCAAAAUAAUGACUAA